rnacentral:rRNA from 1 species
GAUUAACGCUGGCGGCGUGCAUAACACAUGCAAGUCGAACGAUGAAACUUUACUGACUUCUUCGGAAUGAUUUAAAGCGGCUUAGUGGCGAACGGGUGAGUAACGCGUGAGUAACCUGCCUUACACAAGGGGAUAGCCUCUGGAAACGGAGAAUAAUACCCUAUGAAACCGGACAAUCGCAUGAUAAUCUGGUCAAAAUGUUUAGUGGUGUAAGAUGGACUUGCGUCUGAUUAGCUAGUUGGUGAGAUAAAAGCUCACCAAGGCAACGAUCAGUAGCCGACUUGAGAGAGUGUACGGCCACAUUGGGACUGAGACACGGCCCAGACUCCUACGGGAGGCAGCAGUGGGGAAUUUUGCACAAUGGGGGAAACCCUGAUGCAGCGACGCCGCGUGAUUUAGAAGGCCUUCGGGUUGUAAAAAUCUUUUGUAUAGGAAGAAAAUGACAGUACUAUACGAAUAAGGGCCGGCUAAUUACGUG